GUGUAGCUCAGUGGUAGAGCGCUCCCUUAGCAUGGGAGAGGGCUGGGGUUCAAUUCCCCAUAC
rfam:Caenorhabditis japonica strain DF5081 Contig12033.1, whole genome shotgun sequence.